UACGUAGGGUGCGAGCGUUAAUCGGAAUUACUGGGCGUAAAGCGUGCGCAGGCGGUUCGUUGUGUCCGUCGUGAAAGCCCGGGCUUAACCUGGGAACUGCGAUGGAAACUAGCGAGCUGGAGUGUGGCAGAGGGGGGGUGGAAUUCCGCGUGUAGCAGUGAAAUGCGUAGAGAUGCGGAGGAACACCGAUGGCGAAGGCAGCCCCUGGGCUAACACUGACGCUCAGGCACGAAAGCGUGGGAGCAAACAGG
rnacentral:rRNA from 1 species